rnacentral:snRNA from 1 species
GUCUGUAGUGCUCAUUCAGACAGCUCAUAGAACUGGAAUGAUACAGAGAAGACUAGCAUGGCUAUUGCACAGGAUUACAGACAGAUUCACGAAGCAUCCCAUACUUCA